CUUGUGAGAGUCCCAGAAGGAGAAGAAGCUGGCAGAUGCUCCUGAGGACACUAACAGCAAGGAUGUUUAUUGAGAGGGCUGGCUGCCUGGGAUGAGGCUGAGGCUGAGUGAUCACGUAGCCAGCCCAAAGAUGGCUGUGUCUACUGAACAGCUACAGACUGCAGCUUUUCCUCAUCAUUCAUUAAGCAGCACAAUAUGACAAGUAAUGAUGCAGCGUUUAUGUCACGUGACAUCAACGCACUGUAGAGAUGAUCUGAAGUUUGUAGGCAGAACUAUGGCAAACAAGAGCUGGGUCUGGAGGUCAGUGGUAGAGCCCAGAGCACCUGCUUCGUAUGUCUGAGGCUCUAGGUUGGAUUCCAACAACUCUAAGAAAAAGUGGGGGGACUACUGCCAAAAGGGAGGGAAAUUGUUGGGGGGCUGAAGAGAUGACUUUGUGGAUAAGAGUACUUCCUCUGCAAAUCUGAGAACUUGAGUUUGAAUUCUCAACACCCAUGUUAAAAACAAAACAAACAAACAAAAAAACAACUAGGCAUUCCUGUGACUCUAGCAUUGAGGGGCAGAGACAGUAGAUACGAAGAACUUGCUGGCCAGCCAUUCUAGUCAAAAUUCUGAGCUUCCAGAUCAAUGUCUCAAGGCAGUAAGACUUGUUUGCUGCAUCAGCCUGCAGAGUGGCACCUCCUUUCCACAUCUGAAAACAGGUAUGAAGUUCCUACCGUGAACGAGCACUUUCUAGGUCUGUAGAUACCGUAGGGAAU